UGAACGCUAGCGGCAGGCUUAAUACAUGCAAGUCGAGGGGCAGCAGCUUUGUAGCAAUACAGGGGCUGGCGACCGGCAAACGGGUGCGGAACACGUACGCAACCUUCCUCUAACUGGAAGAUAGCCCACGAAAGGUGGAUUAAUACUCCAUAACAUAUUGAAGAGGCAUCUCUUUGAUAUUAAAGCUCCGGCGGUUAAAGAUGGGCGUGCGUCUGAUUAGGUAGUUGGCGGGGUAACGGCCCACCAAGCCUUCGAUCAGUAGCUGAUGUGAGAGCAUGAUCAGCCACACGGGCACUGAGACACGGGCCCGACUCCUACGGGAGGCAGCAGUAAGGAAUAUUGGUCAAUGGACGCAAGUCUGAACCAGCCAUGCCGCGUGCAGGAAGAAGGCCUUCUGGGUUGUAAACUGCUUUUAUCUGGGGAUAAAAAGGCCUUGCGAGGCAAACUGAAGGUACCAGAUGAAUAAGCCACGGCUAACUACGUG
rnacentral:rRNA from 1 species